GCGGGGGUGCCCGAGCUGGUCAAAGGGGGCGGACUUAAGAUCCGCUGGCGAAGGCCUGCGUGGGUUCAAAUCCCACCCCCCGCA
rnacentral:tRNA from 1 species